rnacentral:rRNA from 1 species
UAAGACGUAGGGUCCAAGCGUUGUCCGGAUUUACUGGGCGUAAAGAGCGCGUAGGCGGUCUGUUAAGUGUGAAGUGAAAUCUCAGGGCUCAACCCUGAAACUGCUUCGCAUACUGGCAGACUUGAGGGAUGGAGAGGUUUGUGGAAUUCCUGGUGUAGCGGUGAAAUGCAUUGAUAUCAGGAGGAACACCCAUGGCGAAGGCAGCAAACUGGCCAUCAUCUGACGCUGAGGCGCGAAAGCGUGGGUAGCAAACAGGAUUAGAUACCCUGGUAGUCCACGCCCUAAACGAUGGAUACUAGGCGUAAGGGGUAUCGACCCCCCUUGUGCCGCAGCUAACGCAUUAAGUAUCCCGCCUGGGGAGUACGGCCGCAAGGUUG